UACGAAGGGAGCUAGCGUUGUUCGGAAUCACUGGGCGUAAAGCGUACGUAGGCGGAUGUGUCAGUCAGGGGUGAAAUCCCGGAGCUCAACUUCGGAACUGCCUUUGAUACAGCACGUCUUGAGUCCGAUAGAGGUGGGUGGAAUUCCUAGUGUAGAGGUGAAAUUCGUAGAUAUUAGGAAGAACACCGGUGGCGAAGGCGGCCCACUGGAUCGGUACUGACGCUGAGGUGCGAAAGCGUGGGGAGCAAACAGG
rnacentral:rRNA from 1 species